AUACGGAGGAUGCGAGCGUUAUCCGGAUUUAUUGGGCUUAAAGGGAGCGUAGGCGGUUGUUUAAGUCCGGUGUGAAAGUUUAAGGCUCAACCUUGAAAUUGCAGUUGAUACUGGACGUCUUGAGUGCAGUAAAUGUGGGUGGAAUUCGUGGUGUAGCGGUGAAAUGCUUAGAUAUCAGGAAGAACUCCAAUUGCGAAGGCAGCUCACAGGGCUGUAACUGACGCUGAUGCUCGAAAGUGUGGGGAGCAAACAGGAUUAGAUACCCUGGUAGUCCGCACAGUAAACGAUGAAUACUCGCUGUUUGCGAUAUAGAGUAAGCGGCCAAGCGAAAGCGUUAGGUAUUCCGCCUGGGGAGUACGCCGGCAACGGUGA
rnacentral:rRNA from 1 species